rnacentral:tRNA from 1 species
AGGGUUGUAGUUAAAUAUAUAACAUUUGGUUUGCAAUUAAAAAUUACUUUUGAGGUCAACCUUA